AAAAGGGGUUUAUCUAUUUGUUUACUUGGUUUCUUGUGUACUGUGUAAAUUCUUUUCUGCCACCUCUUCUGUUAAUUUAGUUAGUUGCACAAAUUCAUUUCUGCUUUGGGGAGAGCAAUUUCUAUUGCUCAGAGGUUUUAGCUAUAAUUUUCUACCAGAGAAUUGAAUAUUUGUACACCAUUUUUCAUCUUAGAAAAAACUAGGGGAAGAAGGUAAUGGGUUAUAUAUGUGAGUAUUGUGGGGAGCAACGAUCAAUUGUCUAUUGCCGGUCUGAUUCAGCUUGCUUGUGUUUGUCGUGUGAUCGGAAUAUCCAUUCUGCAAAUGCCCUGUCACAACGUCAUUCCAGAACACUUGUAUGUGAAAGAUGCAAUUCCCAACCAGCUAUUUUCAGAUGUGUCGAGGAGAGGGUCUCUCUAUGCCAGAAUUGUG
rnacentral:misc_RNA from 1 species